GCGUACACGGUGGAUGCCCUGGCAGUCAGAGGCGAUGAAGGACGUGCUAAUCUGCGAUAAGCGUCGGUAAGGUGAUAUGAACCGUUAUAACCGGCGAUUUCCGAAUGGGGAAACCCAGUGUGAUUCGUCACACUAUCAUUAACUGAAUCCAUAGGUUAAUGAGGCGAACCGGGGGAACUGAAACAUCUAAGUACCCCGAGGAAAAGAAAUCAACCGAGAUUCCCCCAGUAGCGGCGAGCGAACGGGGAGGAGCCCAGAGCCUGAAUCAGUGUGUGUGUUAGUGGAAGCGUCUGGAAAGGCGCGCGAUACAGGGUGACAGCCCCGUACACAAAAAUGCACAUACUGUGAGCUCGAUGAGUAGGGCGGGACACGUGGUAUCCUGUCUGAAUAUGGGGGGACCAUCCUCCAAGGCUAAAUACUCCUGACUGACCGAUAGUGAACCAGUACCGUGAGGGAAAGGCGAAAAGAACCCCGGCGAGGGGAGUGAAAAAGAACCUGAAACCGUGUACGUACAAGCAGUGGGAGCCUCUUAAUGGGGUGACUGCGUACCUUUUGUAUAAUGGGUCAGCGACUUAUAUUCUGUAGCAAGGUUAACCGAAUAGGGGAGCCGAAGGGAAACCGAGUCUUAACUGGGCGUUAAGUUGCAGGGUAUAGACCCGAAACCCGGUGAUCUAGCCAUGGGCAGGUUGAAGGUUGGGUAACACUAACUGGAGGACCGAACCGACUAAUGUUGAAAAAUUAGCGGAUGACUUGUGGCUGGGGGUGAAAGGCCAAUCAAACCGGGAGAUAGCUGGUUCUCCCCGAAAGCUAUUUAGGUAGCGCCUCGUGAAUUCAUCUCCGGGGGUAGAGCACUGUUUCGGCAAGGGGGUCAUCCCGACUUACCAACCCGAUGCAAACUGCGAAUACCGGAGAAUGUUAUCACGGGAGACACACGGCGGGUGCUAACGUCCGUCGUGAAGAGGGAAACAACCCAGACCGCCAGCUAAGGUCCCAAAGUCAUGGUUAAGUGGGAAACGAUGUGGGAAGGCCCAGACAGCCAGGAUGUUGGCUUAGAAGCAGCCAUCAUUUAAAGAAAGCGUAAUAGCUCACUGGUCGAGUCGGCCUGCGCGGAAGAUGUAACGGGGCUAAACCAUG
rnacentral:rRNA from 1 species